GGCUACUGUACGCGCACGCCGCACGAUGCUUCCUCUCCCUCUCAUCGCCUCCUCUCAGUCCUGCAGAUCCCUAAUCCCCAAAUGCGAUCAUUGCCGGUAGAACUGCACAGUGAUUCAGCGGCAAGCCGGCGAAUCGAUGGAACUUUGGUUUGAUCUGGUGAUUCUGGCCGGCCGAUAGUUGCGACAUAAUCUCGUGCUAAUCCACCAAGUCCAGGUCGGCUCUUCCAAGGAGGUUAUGGACAUAUUUUUGGUGAAACGGCCACUACCAUCUGCAGGAGGGACUUCAAGGCUUAGACGACAAGAUCGUGUAUCAAGCUUCAGCUUUCUGCGGCAAUGAUGAAUCAGAGGACUCCAAAAAUAAGGGGACUUUUUUGAUAGUUGGUACAAAAAUUAGCAAACCAGAAUGAGGAUGUAAGCAAGGUCGUCUUUUAGGAUGCUCCAAAAAAAUUGCAAAUGGGUGCCUCCAGAUAUUCAAAAAGAAAUUGCGAGUUAUUUUGCAAAGAUAACUAACAAGCUUCACUAUUGUGUAUUCAUUUCAUACAAUUUAUCUCUUCAAGUACUCAAAAUGACAUUUUCUCUUGUCUUGCAUAGAUAACUUUAAAUUCUAUUCUUGAAGAAAUUUGUGGUGAUGUUUUUAGUUUGUUGAUUGAUGAGGGUUCCGAUGUCUCAGACAAAGAACAGCUGGCUAUUUCUUGAGGUGUGUUGACAAGCUUGGUCUAUUCCUGAAACGGUUAGUUGGAGGUAUACAUGUGAGUGAAACAUCUACAAUGCGUCUCGAGUCUACCCUUGAAAAAUUGCUUAGUGCCAUCGGAUUGUUGUAAAUGUAAUAUGCUCUUUUGUUCAUCCUUUUCAGCAAGUUACAGAUGAAA